ACGGAGGAUGCGAGCGUUAUCCGGAUUUAUUGGGUUUAAAGGGUGCGUAGGCGGAUAGAUAAGUCAGUGGUGAAAACAUGCAGCUUAACUGUAGACUUGCCGUUGAUACUGUCAGUCUUGAGUAUGGUCAAGGGAGGCGGAAUGUGUAAUGUAGCUUUGAAAUGCUUAGAUAUUACACAGAACCCCGAUUGCGAAGGCAGCUUGCUGGGCCAUUACUGCCUCUGAUGCACUAAAGCGUCUGGAUCGAACAG
rnacentral:rRNA from 1 species